rnacentral:rRNA from 1 species
AACGAACGCUGGCGGCAUGCCUAACACAUGCAAGUCGAACGAGACCUUCGGGUCUAGUGGCGCACGGGUGCGUAACGCGUGGGAACCUGCCCUUAGGUUCGGAAUAACUCCCCGAAAGGGGUGCUAAUACCGGAUAAUGUCUUCGGACCAAAGAUUUAUCGCCUUUGGAUGGGCCCGCGUUGGAUUAGCUAGUUGGUAGGGUAAAAGCCUACCAAGGCGACGAUCCAUAGCUGGUCUGAGAGGAUGAUCAGCCACACUGGGACUGAGACACGGCCCAGACUCCUACGGGAGGAAGCAGUGGGGAAGAUUGGACAAUGGGCGAAAGCCGGAUCCAGCAAUGCCGCGGGAGUGAUGAAGGCCUUAGGGUUGUAAAGCUCUUUUACCCGGGAUGAUAAUGACAGUACCGGGAGAAUAAGCUCCGGCUAACUCCGU